rnacentral:rRNA from 1 species
UAAAACCAGCACCCCGAGUGGUCGGGACGUUUAUUGGGCCUAAAGCAUCCGUAGCCGGUUCUACAAGUCUUCCGUUAAAUCCACCUGCUUAACAGAUGGGCUGCGGAAGAUACUAUAGAGCUAGGAGGCGGGAGAGGCAAGCGGUACUCGAUGGGUAGGGGUAAAAUCCGUUGAUCCAUUGAAGACCACCAGUGGCGAAGGCGU